UGCGUAAAUACUUUUUGUAACGUAAAAACAAAAUAAAUUUAUUUAUACUGUAGCACAAUAAACUAUUAAAUUUACAAUAUCAAGUGGGCCCACAAUAAUUAGAAUUAAAGAAGUUGUGAACCUAUAGUUUGGAAGACGCAAUCCAAUGGAAAUCCCCGAUGGAACCAGUUAUCUACAGCCUACUCUGAUCCUGAAAUGGGUAGAAAUGAGGGUGGUGAGAUUAUAAAAUCUCAGUGAGUAAACAAACACCAUUUAAAUCAGCUAAAGCCGAGUAAAAGGAGACAAUUAAAAUAUCCCAUCAUUUUAAGUAUUUCACAAUUUGAAAAUUCAUCCUAACCCAUGCAAACGGUUGUAUUUCAUUUAAUUUCUCAUUAGGGCUUAUGGCUUUCAUAAACAUUUGGCUCAUGCCAUCAAAUAGUACUCGAUGACACCUUAAUCAGAGGCGUACACUCGAGGCCGCCAAGGCUGUUAAAAAUUUCGUAUACACGUAAAACAUAUUUUUAGUUUGAGAAAACGCAGCCGUUCCUUGACGUUGGCUGAGUUCCCCUUCACAUGGUAGUUUGGCGUGAAGUGAACCCUAAGCUUUACCCCAGGAGAUACCCUACGCGCCUCUCUGUUCGAGGUAAGAAUAUAAUGGGGUUUACCGUGCCCCUCUAAAAGGCUGAUCUACAGAAACCCCCUACUGUAGUGAUUAAUUAAUAUAUAAUUAACCAAUCAAUAAAAUUAAUUCUAGCAUGACAUGGAAAUUAUUAUAAUUCACAACCUUUCAAGGCUAAAUACACAUUUCAUAUAUUUCAACACCAAUACCAAUUCAGCCAUUCAUGCAAAUACUGUCAUAAGCCAUUAGAUUCAUAAAUUUAAUUCAUAACAAGUGGUCUCCAAUUACUCUAUUUUUCAAAAUCAUCAUUCAAUUUUAAAACAAUUUAUAACAUCUUUUCAUGUAGACACAUUUUGUUUGUAAAACUUAAGAUUUACCAUUUAAUUUCAUUUUUAUAAAAUUUCAUCAAAAUCGAUUAAAAACAUACUUUAGAUAAUAAAAAUGAUGGUAAGGUUACUCACAGUACUAGGAGUUCAAUACAUUCCUAUUCUCGAUCUUCGGGCACAAUCUCUUUACCCUUGUUAGAGGGCUCACCACCUAUACAUCACACGUGACACGAAUUUCAAUAAAUUGUGUCAAUUUAUCAUAAACUAUUCAGGCUCUCUAAAGCUAAAUGAACGCAUGCGAUGGGAUGCAAAAUGUCUGAUUAAUCAUUUAAAUGUGAUAUUCGACCUAAAUCACACUAUAAUCGACCUAAUCAACUAAAAUCUCCAAUUUAACUCCAAAUCAAUUCUUCUCACUUUCUACACUCCAAUUAUACCUAAAUUAUCUCAGUGACUGUGAAUGAAAUUCAAUUUAUCAGUCCCGGGUUAAUAAUCACACAUGUCUACACAUUAGGUAAAAAUUCAGAUUUUCACACCAAAAUUUCCCAUUUAAUUUCUAGCCUCACCAAACAUCAAACAUCACCCAAAUAUCAUGAAAUAUCAUCAAUUUCAGCCACAAUAUCCUCCCUAGAAAAUUUGGCCAAUAAUGGUGAUGGGGGAAAAUGAAUUCUUUUCUUGUUGUUUUGUUUCUAAAUAUGCUAAACUAACUAAAAACACUAACAUAACUUAAAAUCAAAUCAAUCUAACUUCAUUCUCUCUCCAUACCCAUUUGGGCAGCCAUGAAUUCACCAUGAAAACAUGAAAUCUAACCAUGAAAAAUAAGGAGAAAAGCAUGGGAAAGGUAGAUCACAAGUCAAAAUCAAGAAAUUUUACCUUUGAUUGCUUGAUCCUUUGAAAUCCCACACUUUUUCUUUAAUUUUCCCACCUAGGUUUCUUGUUUUUCUUUUCCUCUUUUUGUUCUUGCUAUGGCUGGC
rnacentral:lncRNA from 1 species